AUUGAACGCUGGCGGCAUGCCUUACACAUGCAAGUCGAACGGCAGCACGGGUGCUUGCACCUGGUGGCGAGUGGCGAACGGGUGAGUAAUACAUCGGAACGUACCUUAGCGUGGGGGAUAACGCAGCGAAAGCUGUGCUAAUCCCGCAUACGCCUUGUGGGGGAAAGCGGGGGAUCGCAAGACCUCACGCGAUUCGAGAGGCCGAUGCCUGAUUAGCCAGUUGGUGGGGUAAAAGCCCACCAAGGCGACGAUCAGUAGCUUGUCUGAGAGGCCGAUCAGCCACACUGGGACUGAGACACGGCCCAGACUCCUACGGGAGGCAGCAGUGGGGAAUUUUGGACAAUGGGGGCAACCCUGAUCCAGCAAUGCCGCGUGAGUGAAGAAGGCCUUCGGGUUGUAAAGCUCUUUUGUCAGGGAAGAAACACCGGCUCUAACACAGUCCGGGAAUGACGGUACCUGAAGAAUAAGCACCGGCUAACUACGUGCCAGCCGCCGCCGUAA
rnacentral:rRNA from 1 species